GACCGGGCACACUGGGACUGAGACACGGCCCAGACUCCUGCGGGAGGCAGCAGUGGGGAAUAUUGCGCAAUGGGCGAAAGCCUGACGCAGCGACGCCGCGUGGGGGAUGACGGCCUUCGGGUUGUAAACCUCUUUUACCACCAACGCAGGCUCCGGGUUCUCUCGGGGUUGACGGUAGGUGGGGAAUAAGGACCGGCUAACUACGUGCCAGCAGCCGCGGUAAUACGUAGGGUCCGAGCGUUGUCCGGAAUUAUUGGGCGUAAAGAGCUCGUAGGCGGCGUGUCGCGUCUGCUGUGAAAGACCGGGGCUUAACUCCGGUUCUGCAGUGGAUACGGGCAUGCUAGAGGUAGGUAGGGGAGACUGGAAUUCCUGGUGUAGCGGUGAAAUGCGCAGAUAUCAGGAGGAACACCGGUGGCGAAGGCGGGUCUCUGGGCCUUACCUGACGCUGAGGAGCGAAAGCAUGGGGAGCGAACAGGAUUAGAUACCCUGGUAGUCCAUGCCGUAAACGUUGGGCGCUAGGUGUGGGGACUUUCCACGGUUUCCGCGCCGUAGCUAACGCAUUAAGCGCCCCGCCUGGGGAGUACGGCCGCAAGGCUAAAACUCAAAGGAAUUGACGGGGGCCCGCACAAGCGGCGGAGCAUGUUGCUUAAUUCGACGCAACGCGAAGAACCUUACCAAGGUUUGACAUCACCCGUGGACCUGUAGAGAUACAGGGUCAUUUAGUUGGUGGGUGACAGGUGGUGCAUGGCUGUCGUCAGCUCGUGUCGUGAGAUGUUGGGUUAAGUCCCGCAACGAGCGCAACCCUUGUUCCAUGUUGCCAGCACGUAAUGGUGGGGACUCAUGGGAGACUGCCGGGGUCAACUCGGAGGAAGGUGGGGACGACGUCAAGUCAUCAUGCCCCUUAUGUCUUGGGCUGCAAACAUGCUACAAUGGCCGGUACAAUGGGCGUGCGAUACCGUAAGGUGGAGCGAAUCCCUUAAAGCCGGUCUCAGUUCGGAUUGGGGUCUGCAACUCGACCCCAUGAAGGUGGAGUCGCUAGUAAUCGCGGAUUCAGCAA
rnacentral:rRNA from 1 species